rnacentral:rRNA from 1 species
AUUGAACGCUGGCGGCAUGCCUUACACAUGCAAGUCGAACGGCAGCACGGGAGCAAUCCUGGUGGCGAGUGGCGAACGGGUGAGUAAUAUAUCGGAACGUGCCCGGUCGUGGGGGAUAACGUAGCGAAAGCUACGCUAAUACCGCAUACGAUCUACGGAUGAAAGCGGGGGAUCGCAAGACCUCGCGCGAUUGGAGCGGCCGAUAUCAGAUUAGGUAGUUGGUGAGGUAAAGGCUCACCAAGCCGACGAUCUGUAGCUGGUCUGAGAGGACGACCAGCCACACUGGGACUGAGACACGGCCCAGACUCCUACGGGAGGCAGCAGUGGGGGAAUUUUGGACAAUGGGCGGCAAGCCUGAUCCAGCAAUGCCGCGUGCAGGAUGAAGGCCUCGG